rnacentral:rRNA from 1 species
GGGCCCGCACAAGCGGUGGAGCAUGUGGUUUAAUUCGAUGAUACGCGAGGAACCUUACCAAGGCUUAAAUGCAAUACGAAUAUAGGGGAAACUUUAUAGUCUUCGGACGGAUUGCAAGGUGCUGCAUGGUUGUCGUCAGCUCGUGCCGUGAGGUGUCAGGUUAAGUCCUAUAACGAGCGCAACCCCUAUCGUUAGUUGCCAUCAUUUAGUUGGGGACUCUAGCGAGACUGCCUACGCAAGUAGAGAGGAAGGUGGGGAUGACGUCAAAUCAUCACGGCCCUUACGUUUUGGGCUACACACGUGCUACAAUGGUAGGUACAGAGGGCAGGCUACCCCUGCGAGGGAUGCGAA